AGCGAACGUUUGCGGCGGGCUUAACACAUGCAAGUCGAACGGGCUGUUCCUUCGGGGGCAGUCAGUGGCGCACGGGUGCGUAACACGUAGGUAAUCAACCCUCUGGUUGGGGAUAACACUUCGAAAGGAGUGCUAAUACCCGGUAUGGCGCAGCGGUCUUCGGAUCGCGGCGAGAAAGACCCGCAAGGGUUGCCAGAGGACGAGCCUGCGGCCCAUCAGCUAGUUGGCAGGUAACGGCUCACCAAGGCGAAGACGGUAGCUGGCUGAGAGGAUGAUCAGCCACACUGGAACUGAGACACGGUCCAGACUCCUACGGGAGGCAGCAGUGGGGAAUAUUGCGCAAUGGGCGAAAG
rnacentral:rRNA from 1 species